ACCUGCUGGCAGAAAAGGAGAAAUGCUGUACGAGGUUUACGAAUAGGUCAGUUUGGUAUACAAACUGAAGCCCUAAGUGGACUGCUACUACUAUUGCAGGAACACAGCACACAAGAAAAGGUGUCUGUCUUUCCUGUGUAAUGGACAGGUUUUGAAUCGUGGGCCCAGAAGGAUUGUCUGAAUUUUAAGGAAUGUCCAUUUGUGCUUUAGCAACUUGAAGCUUCAGUGGAAAGAAUCAGAACACAGAGAAAACUUGCUGCUAGGACAAAAAUGAAGGAAAGAAUCACCCCAGGAUGGUGAUACCAGGGUUACAGGCUCACAGGCAGAAGGGACUUGGCCUUUCUCAGAUGAGACUUUGGACUGUGGACUUCAGAGCACCACCAUGUAAGAAGUGCCUUUCACCUUCCACCUUGAUUGUGAGGUCUCCCUAGCCAUGUAGAACUCUAUGCUUUCUGGCCCCCAGAUCUGCACCUGACCUUUACCACCUCCUCAUCAUCCACUCUGUCUGCACCCUCUUGACCGUGUCUGAGUCUCCUUUGGGGCUGGAUGUCUGCUUCAGCAUUAGGAAAUGGACACAUCUACAGAAUCUCUCAUGGCAACACACCAAGUAAUUUUCUGGGCAAUUUUAUACUUUUAUAAGAAUGAAAGAUGUUUUGAUUCCAAAACAUUCUGUCCUGUUCUCUAAUCAUUUUAGUCUUUUAAAGCAUAUUGUCUUGGAAUGGUUAAGAUGUUUUGCUCAUCAAUUUCUUUGUAGCCCAACAAUUUAUAACAGUAUUUCUAAAUUUCCAGAAAAAUGCUAUUGCGUUCUUUCUUUUCUGCAGUUCCUCACCAUUGUCACAGAGCCUGUGUUAGGGAAUUUAGUCAGAGAUUGUCACACAGGAUUUACUUUAGAAGCACCUGGGAAACUUUCAAAAAUUCCAGAGGCCUGGUAUCACUCCCAGAAAUAUGAUAUAAUUGGUCAGCACAGACUUAGACAUCAAUAAUUUUUAAAGAUCCCAGGUGAUUCUACCAUGCAGACAGAGAUGAGAAACACUGAAUUAGAUCAUUUCCAGAAGCCACAGAAUAAAAUGUAAACUCUUCUUCCAUUCUUUAGCUAUUGUAAGCUUCGUCCUUUCAACAAGUUACAUUACUAAAAAUCGACAAACUGAACUCACAUGAAUGUGUACUUACAGAGUUGUGGCUCCUGAUUCUAUUUAAGGUAUGUUAAAGUAAAAGCAGUUAGAAUAUGGAAUUUUUUUUUCCCUUGACUAUGCUAAAGAAAUAUUGGUGAGGAAUGUUGUGGCUCAUUUUUUGUUCUUUCUACAUUUUAUUUUGUAAAAAUUUAAAUAUUUAAUCAUGCUCUUCAGUCCUUUACCCAUUUUAAGUCUUUUAGUAAGGUUUUAUAACUUUAAACAUACAGAUACUGCAUAUUAUGUAUUAGGUUUAUUUUAACAUUUAACAGAGAUUUGUGACUAUUAUGAGUAUGAAUAUAUAAUAAAUUAUUACAAAUUCUAAUCAGUUACGCUGAUGUGGAAUAUUUUCAAGUGUUGAUCUUGAACCCAGUUAUCUUAUCCAAUAAUCUAUACUUUCAGUGAGCUCUAAUUUAUUUAUUGUAAGAUAAUAUUAUAAAAUGACAAAUUUGUAACCCUUGCAGUCACUGAUUUCCAAUAUUUAUAUCUCCUUUUAUUUUAAAUUUUUCUUGUUCCUCAAAACUGUUUAAGA